AGGAGCGUUGGAUUAGGUCUGGCUUCUUCCUCAGCUCGAAUUUUUGUCAUGGGAGUCCCGUUCCUGAGACUGCUGGCAUUAGAAUAUCCUUGGCUGCCAACCUUAAUACUGGGCGUCGGCUGUACCACCACAGCAAUCAUGCUUAUGAUUAUGUUGCCAGAAACGAAAAACAAAACAUUGCCCCAAACCACAGAAGAACUCCAUCAUAUGCAGCUUGAAAAGAAGGCAAAGCGCAGUAGUGUUAGUCCCUCAUUGGGCCAAACUUGAAACCCAGAUAAAACUGAAAGGAAAACACAACGAAAUGUAUAAUAUAAAACAGGAGCGGUUCAAAACAGUCAAUGAGCUUGCCACUCUACCUGUC
rnacentral:lncRNA from 1 species